rnacentral:lncRNA from 1 species
GCGUCCCGGGUGGAAGCGAGAAGACUGACACAACAGCAGACUGAGUGUUUUCAGUUCUGAUUAGACUCUAGUGUUGAGAUGUCUGUCUGUCAUGAUAGCAUGAACUGAGUCGGGGCCAGUACCAGAUAAGAACAUUAAACUAUAAUCCAUAAACGUAAGGUAACAACAGAGAACUAAUGGUGCUGUGACAGUGAAAAUGCGUAUGGUAUGUUGUAUCUGAACAGGUUAGCUUACGAGCUAAAGUUACUUAGCACAGAUGAAAGUUAAAACAAAGACGUUUAUCAAACUGUUAAAGCACACAAACCAUCGUCAUAUGAGAAAUCCGACGCUAUGACUCUCCACAAGUCGUCCUUCAGGUCGUUAUCUUUGUAAUAUUUGUGUUUUUUUAUCAAAAAUCACUCUGUUCUCCGACACGUAAACAAUCAGCCGGUCGGCCAUGUUGGAUAUACCGGUGAAUCAGACGUCGCAACAACACACAAUCUGAUUGGUCAGAAGUGGACACACAGUA